AAAAAUAAGAAUUAAGGUACAAUUGAUGCAGCGGCGACGAAACGAACACAGACACCUGCAAAAAUGUUAACAUCGCCAUCAACGUCACGAAAACGAACAUAAAUCAUGCAUCAGCGACAACGGUAACGGCUGCGACAACAACACCAAAACAAACAAAAAUCUGCAGUAGAGUUUGUAGCCGCUGCUACCACUACAGCAUGCGGUGAUGAAACCUACAGACUAAAUCUU
rnacentral:sRNA from 1 species